rnacentral:rRNA from 1 species
CAAUAGCGUAUAUUAAAGUUGUUGCGGUUAAAAAGCUCGUAGUUGGAUUUCUGCCGAGGACGACCGGUCCGCCCUCUGGGUGAGUAUCUGGCUUGGCCUGGGCAUCUUCUUGGAGAACGUAUCUGCACUUGACUGUGUGGUGCGGUAUCCAGGACUUUUACUUUGAGGAAAUUAGAGUGUUUCAAGCAGGCAUACGCCUUGAAUACAUUAGCAUGGAAUAAUAAGAUAGGACCUCGGUUCUAUUUUGUUGGUUUCUAGGCCCGAGGUAAUGAUUAAUAGGGACAAUUGGGGCAGUUCGUAUCAACACGUCAGAGGUGGAAUUCUUGGAUUGUGUUGCGACGAACUACUGCGAAAGCAUUUGCCAAGGAUGUUUCAUUGAUCAAGAACGAAAGUAAGGGAUCGAAGAUGAUUAGAUACCAU